rnacentral:misc_RNA from 1 species
CCGAGUUUACAACUCCCAAACCCCUGUGAACAUACCACUUGUUGCCUCGGGCGGAUCAGCCCGCUCCCGGUAAAACGGGACGGCCCGCCAGAGGACCCCUAAACUCUGUUUCUAUAUGUAACUUCUGAGUAAAACCAUAAAUAUAAUCA